rnacentral:snRNA from 1 species
UGUGAGGGUGAUCUGGCUACGCCAUCUGUCACCUCAUUGAUGGCUGGCCAGGGUUGAUUUGGCUGACCUGGCUGGCUAGGUGGGUGUCCCCUCCCUCCCUCCCCACUCCAUGUGUGUCCCUCCUGAAGCCGCAUGCUUGGUUGAAGAGGACGACCUUCCCCUAUAGAAAGAGGACCGUCCUUUGGUUAAGGGUACUUGAGUAGCUGCCCCACCCCUGUCAGGCCCUCCAAACACGUCUCAAGGAAUACAUCCUCAACAAUAAAAAAGUCUGAGCUGCUCCUGGCAAGAGGAUUUU